UAGGUUAAUGGACAAAGCAUUGGCCUUGUAAGUCAGGGACCGUGGGUUCAAAUCCCAC
rnacentral:tRNA from 1 species